GAGGGGAGAGGGAUGGAUGGAUGGACAGAGAGGGGCAAUGCCAAUGAAGCUCAUUUAAAUUGAGUCAGACAAAGAGGCUGCGAUUGUGUGAAUUUGUAUAUCUAAUCAGGUCAAAUAUGCCGCAACUAGAGUUUUGCAUUUUGGUAAAGGGGCAGAUGAGUGCGUUGUUGUGUUUUGAGGUGGUAAUCCGUUGAACUUUCCGUAGUUCAAUAAUCAAAAUCAAACUGAGAGUUUCUUAUUAUAGCUGAUACCCCAUUCUUCCAUUGAAUCUUAAUUCCCACUACAUUUGUAGUUGUUUUUUGGAAAGACCCUUAAAAAACACACAAAAAAAUGACACUGUGAUUAAAUUAAAAAUGCUGUUUCUGUAGAAUGUGUUUUUGUGCGAUUCCUUGUCAUUUGCAUCCGAAAGUGAAAAUGUGAUUCUCAGCGUGAUUCUGUUACCACGCUCUUGCCCUGGGUGUCCCUGAGUAAGGACACGGCCAUUGAGUCGAAUAAGGAUGAGGAGGAAGAAGGUUGCUUCUAAAGAACGGAGCGAUGACGUGUGGACCCAUUAACUAGAUGAUACCAUGAUCCCUGUUGUUCGGGAAGUUGCCUAGGGACAAAGUCUUUGUGGUGGAUUAUGGGAAAGUAGUUUGCCAGGCAUUCCCAUCCCUGCAGCACCGGCCAUAUCAGACAGGAGCAGGAGCGAUAUCAGGAGAGGGGAAAGAAAAUGAGCGGAGAGGCUGAGUGAGUGUGACUCCACGUUCUCCUUCUUACCAGGAGAGAAAACAUGGUUUUAUUUUUUGGGAUCCCCAUCAACCACAGCAGCAGGUUGACGUGUGAUUGUGUGUGUGUGCGGGGCUGUGUACAUUCCCUGUUUUGCCAUACAAUUUUGUUUGUCACUGUUCUUUUAAGGAUGUUUGAGCUUUGCUAAUUGGAGAUGGAAGAUGUUCCAUUCCAUCUUAACUCUGUCUCAUUUUGUAUGCUACUGCACACUUGUUUUGGACCUGUUUGCUGGGAUGAGACACCAGGAGCUAGGUGUGAAUUUGAGUGUCUUAGCUGUGUGCUAUUUGACUACAAUGGCCAUUUGGAACCCUCAUACAUUUUUAAUUUGUUUAUAAAACCCAAAAAGGAAGCAGUCAAUCUCUUUUUCAGCCCUCAUCCAGGAAAAAAGUAAUGUUACGUUGUUGAUGUUCGUUAUAUCCCAACACACACACUCACUCAAACCCCAGUCCUUGACACUACCCAUACCCAUUCCACAAAAAAAACCUUUUGCCUCCAUACACACAUUUCUGAACCCUGGUCUGCAUUAUUAAUGUCCUUUUAGCAGCCAGACUUCUUCUACGAUCUGUAUCACCUGUCUACUGAACCACACACAUACAGAGUCAUAGGUACUGACACACACACACACAGAGUCAGAGGUACUGACACACACACACAGAGUCAGAGGUACUGACACACACAGACAGUCAGAGGUACUGACACACACAGACAGUCAGAGGUACUGACACACACACACAGACAGUCAGAGGUACUGACACACACACACAGACAGAGACAGAGGUACUGACACACACACACAGACACAGACAGAGGUACUGACACACACAGACACACACAGACAGAGGUACUGACACACACAGACACACCGGUGUGAGUCAGUUAAAUAUCAAGGUCUGUUUUCCGGGUUUCUUAGUCGUUGAUGUUGCUGGGAUGAGUCAUUGUUAUAGCUAGCCUAGCGAUGGCUAAUGGGAGAACAGUCCAGGUGAAAGGGGGGAAAGAUGUGGCCGGGGGGGGGUUUCUUUUUAUUCUAGAAACAUUUCUAAUAUUACAUCUUCGUUUUUUUGUGUAUCCCAUACGCGUGGCUCUUUGGGUGUCCAUGUAGACAGUUCAAUGAAUUUGGGACUAGGAUCGGUCUUGGUACUGUAUAAACCCCUACUGCUACCACACUGGUCUUGGUACUGUAUAAACCCCUACUGCUA
ensembl:lncRNA